rnacentral:lncRNA from 1 species
GUUCAUGUCGCUUAUCAGCUUUAUACCAAUGGUUUAGACCUAAGUGUAGCCUAGUUCCUCUAUGCUAACUGGAAACCAAACACUAUCACAACAGGGGCGAUGCAUAACAAGCAUCAUCAAAGGAUGAUAAACUAUCAGUUAUUGCUUUCUUGUGAGCCUCGGCACUAGAAUAAUGUGCCUCAGGCGUGCCUUUCCUCGGGGAAAUAAAGCGGCAAGCCACAGGGAUUAUUAACAUGAUUUACAAAAUGGUCGAACACAACAAUGUAAACUGCUAGAAAACCUGGGGAAUCGAUGUUGCUGUGGACUGUCUCUCCUGAUAAGUUUCGAUGUAUUUCCUCUCAUUUCUUCCCGAGAGGUACACCAAGGUACACAAAAGAGAUCAUCAAGGACAACAACCACCCGAGCCACUGCCUGUUCACCCCGCUAUCAUCCAGAAGGCGAGGGUUUGGAUGACAAGGAAACGAAAUCUCCAGCUUUGACCUUCUGGAGAGCGGCACAUCUUUGUGUCUCUCAUUCUCUCUCUCCUC